CUGUGGAUAAUUUGACUCAACACGGGAAAGCUCACCUGGCUGGACACAGGCAGGAUUGGCAGAUUGAGAGCUCUUUCUCGAUUCCGUGGGUGGUUGUGCAUGGCCGUUCUUAGUUGGAGCAGCGAUACGUUAGCUUCCAUAUUCAGCACUAGGACUCUAGCAACCACAGACAUGGUUAAAAUUUCUCUUUUUCUCCCAGAUUUACCCUUUGGCCUAAGGAACGGUACACUGGGCCAAGGUCCAGGAACCCAGCUUCAUACAUGAUUAAUGUAUGACUUUUUACACUUCAUUGUUACUGAGCCCUUUUCUCAGCACACAGUCAUAGUACAGCAGAUAUUCUUUUGUAUAUUUAUCCUGAAUAUACACUCUGCAGAUACUCGUCAUAGGGUUUAUGUUAUUGUAGAGGUCCACACAG
rnacentral:ncRNA from 1 species